AUACGUAGGGAGCGAGCGUUGUCCGGAAUUACUGGGUGUAAAGGGAGCGUAGGCGGGAGUGCAAGUCAGAUGUGAAAUACAUGGGCUCAACCCAUGGGCUGCAUUUGAAACUGCAUUUCUUGAGUGAAGUAGAGGUAAGCGGAAUUCCUGGUGUAGCGGUGAAAUGCGUAGAUAUCAGGAGGAAAACCGGUGGCGAAGGCGGCUUACUGGGCUUUUACUGACGCUGAGGCUCGAAAGCGUGGGGAGCAAACAGGAUUAGAUACCCUGGUAGUCCACGCUGUAAACGAUGAUUACUAGGUGUGGGGGGACUGACCCCUUCCGUGCCGCAGUUAACACAAUAAGUAAUCCACCUGGGGAGUACGGCCGCAAGGUUGAAACUCAAAUGAAUUGGCGGGG
rnacentral:rRNA from 1 species